AGGGUUCGAUUCUGGCUCAGAACGAACGCUGGCGGCGCGUCUUAAGCAUGCAAGUCGAACGGCAAGAGGUAGCAAUACCUCCUAGAGUGGCGGACUGGUGAGUAACACGUGGGUGACAUACCCUUCAGAUGGGGAUAGCUAUUAGAAAUAGUAGAUAAUACCGAAUACGAGCACAGGGGUUAGAGAUCUGUGAGGAAAGGAGCUAAGGCUCCGCUGAAGGAAUGGCCUGCGGCCCAUUAGCUAGUUGGUGAGGUAAGAGCCCACCAAGGCGAUGAUGGGUAUCCGGCCUUAGAGGGUGAACGGACACAUUGGGACUGAGAUACGGCCCAGACUCCUACGGGAGGCAGCAGCUAAGAAUAUUCCGCAAUGGACGAAAGUCUGACGGAGCGACGCCGCGUGGAUGAAGAAGGCCGGAAGGUUGUAAAAUCCUUUUGAAACUGAAGAAUAAGCGUUGUAGGGAAUGACAGCGUGGUGACAGUAGGUUUUGAAUAAGCAACGGCUAAUUACGUGCCAGCCGCGGC
rnacentral:rRNA from 1 species